rnacentral:lncRNA from 1 species
CCAUUUACUUUUAAUACAAGAAGAUCAUAAUCAUUCUUACCCCCCAUAUUUCAAAUCGGAUGGUUGUGAGUGUGUCAUAGACUGCAUUUAUAAUUUAAAAAAGUAUUUCUCGAACUUUACACGUACCCUAAGCCAUCCAAUUUGAUAUCCAAUUUCUAGGAACAGUUAUGAACUCCUUGUAACAAAGAUAAAUGGUCUUAUAGUAUACAAUUCUUAAAAAGAUCGGGCCUCAAAAUCUUUUACCGAAAAAAAACUAAAACACUGCUGUCUGUUUUGCAUGAUUAGGUAAUUUCUUUUCGGGGUCGUAAUCACAAAGAAUUAAGGAAAAACGCAAAAUGCUGCACUCUCGAUCCCAUUCCCAUGUGAUACAUAAAAUUUGAAGGGGGAAAUGAACAAUCCAAUGACUCAAAUGAAUAAGAAAUAAUUUGUGAAAAUAAGUUCCAAGUCAAACAGCAAUAAUUCACCCCUGAAAGCAAUAAAAACUUGAUUAAGUUGCAAGUCAUUCAUAUUGGGAACAAAGUGGAGUGAGGAAACCAUUUAUUCAAUUUAUUUUAUAGUGGAAGAUUGAAUGGAGAUGGCCUCAUCAAGGCUGUAAAGAUUGGGUCUGGCUGGGAGAGCUACAGCAUCUGCAGCAGCCUCCAUUUGGGGCAGGGCUGCAACACACACAUGCAGGACAAAAGACAGAUCCCUGCCUUGUUGGCCUUCCAUUUAUCACUUCUGAAAACCCAACAUGAAACAUCAUCAUCAAAAGCAUUUUAUGAAUCUAUGGAAAUACACAAAAGAAAAUUCUCAUGGUGCAAGUAAUCUAAUGUUCAAGAUUAAGAAAAUGCCCUUAGUGAGAAAAAUAAAGAAAAGAUGAUGAAAAUGCAUAUAAAACCAAAAAAGUAAAAGGCGGCGUUGUGGUGUCUUGAGCAAAAUAGAUGAUGACCAUUUUGUGCUUUUGGAUCGCAAUGUCAUGGAAACCUUAUGUUUUCUAUGACUAUAUAGCAUAAUUAGGUUGAAUUCAUCGCUUCUGAUUUUGCUACAAUUGCAGCACUAUCUCACGUUCAAAUCUGAAACCUGAGAACAUUGUAUCCAACACGGGGUGGAAAAGGGGUCGGGAUCGGGAUCGGGAUCGGGGUGGUAGCACCCCACACCUUAGUAGCCAUGGUUUCCAUUUCCACAACUGACACCAUCUAACAUUUUCAAAAAGCUACCUCCUAAUCCACUAUCUUCCCCAUUGAAUUACCCAACAAACAAAAAAAACCUACCCGUGGUGGGGGAAAAUGGCCAGGCCUAGCCUGAACCUAAUCCCUGUAGGGCCGGCCCAAGACUGUCUAAGCCCGAAUUAGCCCAAGAAGGCUUGGCCCAGGCCCGGCUCUAGCCUUGACAAGGCAUGGUCAGGUUCGGCCCUGCCAAAAUGCAAAAAAACAAAGAGAAGACAAAUAAAGGAAAAAAAUAAGGGAAAUAAAGGGCUAGGCAGAGCUUGACAAACGGGGCCGGCGCUAUAAUGGUCCUGGCGUAAGCCUAGACCCGGCCUGGUCCUAUAUCAGGCCAUAGUUGCCUGCCCGUGGACCGGCACUUGAGCCAUAUUUUAUGGUUGCUAUCGUCCGGCUGGGCAUUGCCAGAAAAAAUCAAAAUUUGUAGCUAAAGGAGAUAUGCUUACCCUGGGUCAUGCGUGCGGCAGUAGCAAGAGGAGACAGGGAGCACAAGAAAAGAAGUAGUAAAAGAGCUGCCAGAGCAUGCUGCAUGCCUCUCUUGCUUGCCAUCUCUCUUAUUUUUCACUUACAAUUUGUUAUGACACAAGAGAAGCUCUCCUAUUUGUAUUUGUA